rnacentral:lncRNA from 1 species
AAUCAAGUACAUAAAAAUAAACCAGAGGGAACAACGUGCAAAGCAGAAUAAGGAAUGACCAACUUUACACUUCUCAGCAGUGUUGGUGGUAUGAAUGGUCCUCCUGUGAAGGUCUCCAGGAGCCAGCAGCACAAUAAACCACAGAGAUUUUUGUAAAGCUCCACAAUGCAAUUUCUUAGUCUUAAAUUAUGCUGUAAAGGAAUUGAAUAAUUCCUUCAAUUAGAUUUGUAUUGCAGACAGUAGGCACUAAAUAAAUGAGGGAGGUGUAGCACUCUGUAACUACAGACAGCUAUUUUUAAAGAUAUCUUCAGUCAGUCUUAAAUUAAUCUUGACCUUUCUGUCAUCUUUUUUUGUCUGGGACAGACAUUCCCCAUGCUCCUUUACAUACAGUUUGAAUAUCCUUUCAGUUUGAAUGAGUAAGCCUGGCAGUCAGUUAGAACUUUGCCUUGAGUGACCUGACCACUUUCUUCAGAAAGAGCUUUUCCUGAGAGUUUGUCUUUAAUUGAUGAUACACUGAGUGUAAUUUUGUCUUGAAAAAUAAUUAUACAAUGGAUGGAAAUAGAUGUUACUGAUAUGAAGUAGUAAUGGACAAUGGUACUGUGUUCCUGUACAGGAAAAUCAGCAAUGAAAAUAUUUCUCCUUGUCCUGCUCUUAGUUAAAAUUGACUGAUGAGAGAUUUGCUGGUGGAAAUCAGUAGCUCUGAAGAGAAUUCUGGCGGGUUCUUCAUGCCCUCAGCAUUUCACUGACAAGGAAAAGUCCUGGAUGUGGAUCUGCCUCAAGAACCUCCAGACAGCACAUUUUUCAGAUGGAUGGAAGUGCCCCAUGUGUCACAGCACUGGAGAUGAGGCUGUUCUUCUGGAGAUGACAUUCAGACCUCAUUCUGCUGAAACAACAACUUUGAAUUCUUUCCCAUAA